AAGAGACGUUGCCCUUCGGGGUAUACCUCCCACCCUUUGUUUAUUAUACCUUUGUUGCUUUGGCGGGCCCGUCCUCGGACCACCGGCUUCUGCUGGUCAGUGCCCGCCAGAGGACCUAAAACUCUGUUUGUUAAUAUUGUCUGAGUACUAUAUAAUGGUUA
rnacentral:misc_RNA from 1 species